AAAAAACGCAUUCUAUCAUCUGCAUAAAUCUGUCAACACAAACAACAAAAUAAGUAAUGAAACAAUCAUAUCAAGAUUCAGUUUCUUUCAACCUUAUUCAAGAGAAGAUCUCCUCUAAGCCUAGUUUCAGAAUAUAUAUUCAAUAAAAUUGUUAAAAUAUAUCUAGAAAGCAUGCAACUUCCAUGCCAAAUUACAUUACUGGGCAGUGCGAGAACACAAUUUCUCAAGGUAUUAUCAAAAUUUUUGAAACAAAUAACAGCUAUCAAGAUUGAGGUCAUAAAUCCAAAAGCAAACCACAGCACAAAUCUCAGAUCGGUACGUAUCGUUUUAGCGCCUGUUUUCCAGUCACUCCCAAGCCAACAACGACGCCACCAAUAACUCCAGCCACGGCAGCUGACCUCAGCCCCGAAGCCGCCCUGUAGAACGCACCAGUCCCCAAGCCAGCAACCACGCUAUUGAUAACAUCAUCCGUAUCCCUAAUAGCAACCAUUCCACUCUCCAUCCCAGCAUAAAGCAACCCAAUAACACCAGCUCGAUUUCCAAACUUCCGGCCCGUAUGACCCGACGCAUUCAGGAUUCUAUUGAUCCUGAGCUUCAUAGUAUCACCAGGCUCCGAAGCUUUCACACCUUCAACAAAUCCUUUACCAGCGCCGGCAACGGCCCCAGAGAGAAUUUGACUUAUUACACUGGUAUCGGUU
rnacentral:misc_RNA from 1 species